rnacentral:rRNA from 1 species
AACUGUAUGAGAUAUUAUGCAGCUUUUUCUGCUCCAUGACAUGUUAAAUAGCCGCAGUACUCUGACUGUGCAAAGGUAGCAUAAUCAAUUGGCCUCUAAUUAAGGUCUGGCAUGAAUGAACGCAUGGGUAAUGACUGUCUGAGGGAUGUUAAUUGAAAAUUAUUAAGUUGGUGCAAAUGCCAACAGGAUUAAAAAAGACGAGAAGACCCUAGAAACUUAUAGUUGAUUUUGCUGGGGCGGCAGAAUUGCAUAUAACCAAUUUUAAUUUACGUGAAGCGACGCAGAAAGAAAAAGUUACUCUAGGGAUAACAGCAUAAUUUUAAUAGUUUGUGACCUCGAUGUUGGACUAGGGAUGUUACCUUCUAGAAGAAAGUAAUUAUGGCUCUGUUCGAGCCCUUAGCCCCUACAUGAUCUGAGUUCAGACCGG